AUAAUAUGCUGAAUAUACCGGUUCUCGUUAGAUCACCGAAGUCAAGCAUCAUUGGGCGCGGUCAGUACUUGGGUGGGUGACCACCUGGGAACACUGCGUGCCGUU
rnacentral:rRNA from 1 species